AGUGGCGGACGGGUGAGUAACGCGUGGGUAACCUGCCCCAUACAGGGGGAUAACAGCCGGAAACGGCUGCUAAUACCGCAUGCACAUGCGGGGGCGCAUGCCCCUGGAUGGAAAGCUUUCGCGGUAUGGGAUGGGCCCGCGUCUGAUUAGGCAGUUGGCGGGGUAACGGCCCACCAAACCGACGAUCAGUAGCCGGCCUGAGAGGGCAACCGGCUACAUUGGGACUGAGACACGGCCCAAACUCUUACGGAAGGCAGCAG
rnacentral:rRNA from 1 species